UGACGGUUGACGGGCGACGGUUGACGGUUGGGGUUUGAAUUCAGCGGCGCUUCCGCCCCCCCCCCACCGGAUGUGGCUGGAGG